rnacentral:rRNA from 1 species
GAUGAACGCUGGCGGCGUGCCUAAUACAUGCAAGUCGAGCGAACAGACGAGGAGCUUGCUCCUCUGACGUUAGCGGCGGACGGGUGAGUAACACGUGGAUAACCUACCUAUAAGACUGGGAUAACUUCGGGAAACCGGAGCUAAUACCGGAUAACAUGUUGAACCGCAUGGUUCAACAGUGAAAGACGGUCUUGCUGUCACUUAUAGAUGGAUCCCCGCUGCUUUAGCUAGUUGGUAAGGUAAUGGCCUACCAAGGCGACGAUGCGUAGCUGGUCUGAGAGGCUGAUCAGCCACAUUGGGAAUGAGCAACGGCCCGAACUCCUACGGGAGGCAGCAGUGGGGAAUCUUGCGCAAUGGGCGAAAGCCUGACGCAGCAAUGCCGCGUGAAUGAUGAAGGUCUUAGGAUUGUAAAAUUCUUUCACCGGGGACGAUAAUGACGGUACCCGGAGAAGAAGCCCCGGCUAACUUCGUG